rnacentral:rRNA from 1 species
UUUAAUGAGAGUUUGAUCCUGGCUCCGGACGAACGCUGGCGGCGUGCCUAAUACAUGCAAGUAGAACGCUGAGGUUUGGUGUUUACACUAGACUGAUGAGUUGCGAACGGGUGAGUAACGCGUAGGUAACCUGCCUCAUAGCGGGGGAUAACUAUUGGAAACGAUAGCUAAUACCGCAUAAGAGUAAUUAACACAUGUUAGUUAUUUAAAAGGAGCAAUUGCUUCACUGUGAGAUGGACCUGCGUUGUAUUAGCUAGUUGGU